GUAUUCCCUGUUUUAAGCAAAUAGAAUCGGUCUACAGAUGAAGGCUAUAUAGCAUAUCCUAUCUCUUCCCACCACUACCACACUCUAGACUAGCCCCCUUAUCAAUGAAUUCUGGCAUUCACCUUCCUCCAUGACCACCUUCACCAUUCACGAUGGUUCACCAUCCCAUCUCCUUAAAACCCAGUCAAACCAACAACAACACCUUCACCUUAAUCUCUCCUCACCUGUCCCACUUGGCCAUUUCCUCGGUCGUAAGCAUCGUCGCCACCAACUUUCGGCUUCACCAUAUUCUCUAUUGUCGACCCACUGGUAAACCUUCCCUCUCUGUCCAACAAAACACAAAAUCACAACUACUUUUCCUCCCUUCCUCUAGCCGCAUCUAUCUUACUGGUGAAACCUUCUAAUCUGAUUGCCCCUUUUUCCCGCCUAUACUUGCAUCACAUCGAUCGAGACUCACAACAAAAAAAUCCCUCUCCACACCACUAAUAGCUCACCCUACCACCGCUACCACGACCACCAUUAAGCACCAUCGUCACCAAAUCAGCGACACCCACUAUAUCGUGGCCAUGACACUCCAGCGUCGUCAUCGGCAAAUAGCUCAAAUAUCUUAAAUUCUACAUAUAUUGACCCUGCUCUUCAUCUUCACCCAACUGAAUCAGAUUGGCCCUUCAUCUUCAUGUAAUUGAAUCGGUCAAUGCAAGAUUCAGUGGAGACUUAUUCAAAUUGGAAGAACUUUCAAUCUCUUUUUUCCCUCUCACUUUCUCACAUCACCGUUUGCACGAACAAAAACUCUAGCAUUUGUCACCGCAUCCUACAUUGUCAGAUCACUCACAGCCGCCUCUAUUUAUCUAAUACAUCAAGCAAUGAAUCUCACUAAGAGUCUGGUUUGUGAAACUACUAAAUUAAUUUUCUACUUUCCCUUUUAGUAGGACGAAAAUCUGAACUUAAAGGGUGUAAGGACCAUCAUUGGUUUUCAUUGCAAAAUUAUAUUUUAAUGAGGUUUAUUAUAUAAUUGUUUUUUGAAGUAUUUUCUAAGGGCUACUUAGUUUUUACAUUGUUUUUCUGACAUUAUUAUAGAUUUCGUGAGCAGAUUUGUAUAUGUGAUUAAUGGAUGACACCCCAACUUUCUCAUAGACACAAGUACUUCUCCCACAAAGUUUACAUCCAAAGUUAUGAUUUUUAUAAAGAAGUCUUGUGGCCCACAGAACUUGCUAUUUAGUCCAUCAAUUGCAACAUGAUAGUGAAAAUGAUAAUGGAGUAUAAUUAGAGCUCUUAAUUAUCCAUUUCAAGAUGUGUAAUUAUGAAACUCAAUCUGUUGUGGGUGGAUUAGUUUAAUGUGGAAAUUCUGAUCCCUUGAAUGAGUGUUUUUGAAACAGUUCAAAUUUACUGUAAAUUAAAGGAUUAUAAGUUCUUCUAAUUAAAUGAAGUUUCCAUUGCUAAU